rnacentral:rRNA from 1 species
AUGUAUCUGUUGGCAUUAAAUUCUCAGGGAGGCAAUGUUGUGGACUUUGACUGGGCCACCCAUGCUUCUAACUAUUGGGUCUGUGAUGGGAUUAUAGGAGGUCAGGAUGACAAAGCAUGGGAGGCUGGAGCUGCUCUGCAUAAACAUAUAUGUAUAGAGGAUUAUUCAUCUAAUGCACUACCCUCAUUUGGUCAGAAACUAGUGACUCCUCAGAAACAGUGGAUAUUGGCCAGGGACAACUUUGUUGUGCAUCCAGAGUCAACGUCCUUUUUCCUUGAUGCAGUCGCAAGCAGAUUUGAUCCUCCAUCAUGGUUGUUACCUAAUGACAUGUUUCAUCAAGCGGAGAAUCUUCAUGUGCUCAAAUUAUGCCACUGCACCUUCAGUUUUUCCUCCCCUCCUUUCCAUUGUUGCCACAACUUAAGAUUCCUCGGAUUAGAUAGUUGCCAGGAUCAACGACUAGAAGAAGACAAAAAGGAAGAUACACCAACAAUGGUUUUUUGUAAGAGCCUAUGGGUGAUAGACAUAUGCAAUACAUAUUGGGUUUUUCCUUCAUCACGAGAGAUAGUAGAGCAGAUGGCUGCAAACAUUAGGGAAGUACAUAUAAAAAAUGGAAGGUUUUUGCACAUCAAUGUUGCAUGGGGACAACUACAGAACCUACUCAAGCUUCGAGUAAUGGACCCUACUUGGGAGACGGGUGGAAAGGAUGAAUUCACUGUUUUGCCCAACUUGUCAAGAUCAACUAACCUCAAGGCUCUAGUUCUAAAUGGUUGUUUUGGUUUGGAACAUGUUGAUGGACUCCCUCUAUCACUUGAAUCAUUCAGCUUAGAUAUAAGACCAAGAGAUGAUGAUUCCAAGGAAGCCAAAAUAAGCCGCAUCUCCUUGGCUGGCUGUGUAAGAUUGUCCGACUUCACACUGUGUGGAUCACUUCCAAACCUUGAGGAGUUGGACCUCUCAGGCACAAAAGUCAAGACACUUGACCUCACAACUGAGGUAGUGGAGGUCCCAUGUCUCCAACGUGUCAUGAUGUUGGGAUGUGAGCAACUCCGUGCUGUGCUUUGGCCAGAAAAAAGGAUGCCCAAACUAAGUUUGCUAUGCAUUGACACUCGAGGAGAAGGUAUCAGAAGAAUGCCACCAGAUUCUGAGAAGUUAAAAAAGGGUCAUUGUCAAGCAUAUGUUGCCAUGAUGGACAUGAAAUUCAUUCAGAUAUUGACACAGACAAGUAACAUUAAUAUGUUUUGGAGUAUUGAAACCACUAAUCUUAGUCUAAACAUUUGCAUUUCUGCUAGUGGACAGUGGUGCAACAAAGAUAAGAUGGGCUCUGGUAAUUGUGGGAAUAUAUUGGGGCCAUCCCUACCAAAGUCAUUAAUCCCCAAUCAAUCUUAUAGCGAUUUUUCUAUUGACAAUAUAACUAUUGAUCAUGGCUACAAUAGUGCAGUGCAGUUUCAGCCUUCGACAUGUCAUGUGGAGAUUGGUGAAGGAAUUAUCAACACUAGCAUGGAGAGCACACAAGGAAACGAGGCUAUCUAUUUGUGA